UGCAUUCCCUCGAAUUUGUUUUCAUACUCAUGAUGAACCUCCAGGCAUGAGUUCCAUAUUCCUGGCAGGAAGAAGGCUGAAGGCCUAAAAAUAUCUCCCAUAAGGUUUUGAUUUUUGAUUAUGGAAAGAAAGCUCUCCCCAGUGGACUCCUACUUACAUGUCCCUGGCCAGCACUGUGUCACAGGGCCAACCCUAGCUGAAAGAUGUCUAAACAGAGGAGGAAGAGAAGGACAAGGUUCAGCUAGAUGGGCUUUUCAAGUGAUCACCAUUGCCAGUGAAUGUGGAAGCAUCAACUAUCAUCUGUAAACCACAUCUGUUUAUAAUCUUUACACUGGCAAACGACAGGUUUGCCUCUAACCAAGUGAUGACACAGAGAAUGCCCUCAAUUUCUAAAGUCCCUUGCCUACCCAUAAUUUUGAAUGUUACCAAAACUCACAGAUUUAAUAUGCUAAUCAGGUAAUCAAAAUUAAAUGUAGACAGUCUAUUUCUGC